AGUUGAGCGGAGAUAUAUGGAGCUUGCUUUAUAUAACUUAGCAGCGAACGGGUGAGUAACACGUAGAUAAUCUAUCCUAUACUGGGGGAUAGCCCGAUGAAAGUUGGAUUAAUACCGCAUAUAGCUAUAUAGUUGCAUGAUUAUGUAGUGAAAGAUUUAUUGGUAUAGGAGGAGUCUGCGGCACAUUAGCUAGUAGGUGAGGUAAAGGCUUACCUAGGCGACGAUGUGUAGCCGGUCUGAGAGGAUGAACGGCCACAAUGGAACUGAGACACGGUCCAUACUCCUACGGGAGGCAGCAGUGGGGAAUAUUGCACAAUGGGGGAAACCCUGAUGCAGCAACGCCGCGUGAGUGAAGAAGGUUUUCGGAUUGUAAAGCUCUGUUAGCAGGGAAGAGGAAGGACGGUACCUGCAGAGGAAGCCACGGCUAACUACGUGCCAGCAGCCGCGGUAAUACGUAGGUGGCAAGCGUUGUUCGGAAUAACUGGGCGUAAAGGAUGCGUAGGCGGUUAAACAAGUUAUAUGUUAAAUAUAUAGGCUUAACCUGUAGAAAGCAUAUAAAACUGUUUAACUAGAGUGCAGGAGAGGUAAGUGGAAUUCCUAGUGUAGCGGUGAAAUGCGUAGAGAUUAGGAAGAACACCAGUGGCGAAGGCGACUUACUGGACUGUAACUGACGCUGAGGCAUGAGAGCAUGGGGAGCAAACAGGAUUAGAUACCCUGGUAGUCCAUGCUGUAAACGAUGGGUACUAGGUGUGGGUUGUGAAUAACAAUUCG
rnacentral:rRNA from 1 species